ACGGCCAUACCACAUUGAAAACACCGGUUCUCGUCCGAUCACCGAAGUCGGGCCCGGUCAGUACUUGGGAGGGUGACCACCUGGGAACACCGGGUGCUGUAGGUU
rnacentral:rRNA from 1 species